rnacentral:tRNA from 1 species
GAAAUUGUAGCUUAGUGGUAGAGCACUUGCCUAGCAUGUAUGAGGCACUGGGUUCGAUCCUCAGCACCA